GACGAGGUGGCCGAGAGGUUAUGGUGAUGGACUGCUACUCUAUUGUGCUAUGCACGCGUGGGUUCAAAUCUCGCUCUCGUCG